AUUGAACGCUGGCGGCAUGCCUUACACAUGCAAGUCGAACGGCAGCACGGGUGCUUGCACCUGGUGGCGAGUGGCGAACGGGUGAGUAAUACAUCGGAACAUGUCCUGUAGUGGGGAUAGCCCGGCGAAAGCCGGAUUAAUACCGCAUACGAUCUACGGAUGAAAGCGGGGGACCUUCGGGCCUCGCGCUAUAGGGUUGGCCGAUGGCUGAUUAGCUAGUUGGUGGGGUAAAGGCCUACCAAGGCGACGAUCAGUAGCUGGUCUGAGAGGACGACCAGCCACACUGGGACUGAGACACGGCCCAGACUCCUACGGGAGGCAGCAGUGGGGAAUUUUGGACAAUGGGCGAAAGCCUGAUCCAGCAAUGCCGCGUGUGUGAAGAAGGCCUUCGGGUUGUAAAGCACUUUUGUCCGGAAAGAAAUCCUUGGCCCUAAUACGGUCGGGGGAUGACGGUACCGGAAGAAUAAGCACCGGCUAACUACGUG
rnacentral:rRNA from 1 species